AUUGCAAUGGGGAGCUGGUUUGCUCUCGUGCCAGGAGAGCUUGUCCGAUAAACUACAUCAAUAUCCAAUGAGACUGCGUGUCGAUGUAAACAAAAAAACAUCAGUUCCCAUGAUUUCUCUGAGCUUAUGGUCAAGUGUUUACUGCGUUGUAGUGUGGUGUAACGAAUUGUUCCAGUCCUGAAAACGAAAGAAAUAUAUUUCUUUUAAUGUGUACAACAUGUAUUUAAUGUGUACAACUUUAUUUACUUUAUCCUAUAGAAAAUUCCCUCGAAAGUAAACUACAGCAACAGAGUGCAGUACAAUACCACAAGUUUUCCAGCCAAAUGCGAAAAUUCCACACCUUUAUCACGAGGAAAUCUGCAAUGGCAUUUAGGAAUGACAAGUUUGUAUCUAUUACAUAAAAUCUAAUGUUUUCUGCAUUCUUCUUUUCCUUUUCCUCCCAACAGAAAAACUUUAAUGGUAUAAAUCAGCGGUUUUCAACCUUUUGACUGUAGUGUACCAUCUAAGCAAAAACUGAAAAACAUUAAGACUACCACUAAUUUUACAAUGAUUAUUUUUCAAUUCCUCAAUAGAAAUAUU